rnacentral:rRNA from 1 species
GCGAACGCUGGCGGCAGGCCUAACACAUGCAAGUCGAACGAGCCUUCGGGCUAGUGGCGGACGGGUGAGUAACACGUGGGAACGUACCUUUAGGUUCGGAAUAACUCAGGGAAACUUGAGCUAAUACCGAAUGUGCCCUUCGGGGGAAAGAUUUAUCGCCUUUAGAGCGGCCCGCGUUAGAUUAGCUAGUUGGUGGGGUAAUGGCCCACCAAGGCUACGAUCUAUAGCUGGUCUGAGAGGAUGAUCAGCCACACUGGGACUGAGACACGGCCCAGACUCCUACGGGAGGCAGCAGUGGGGAAUCUUGCGCAAUGGGCGAAAGCCUGACGCAGCCAUGCCGCGUGAGGGAUGACGGCCUUCGGGUUGUAAACCUCUUUCAGCUCCGACGAAGCGAAAGUGACGGUAGGAGCAGAAGAAGCACCGGCCAA